UUACGACCAUAUCAAGACGAAACACUGGCACACGUACGAUCACAGAAGUUAAGCAACCUCGAGCGUGUUCAGUAUCUAGAUGGGUGACGUUUUGGAAAUAUCAGGUACG